CCUACGGGUGGCAGCAGUGGGGAAUAUUGCACAAUGGGGGAAACCCUGAUGCAGCGACGCCGCGUGAAGGAAGAAGUAUUUCGGUAUGUAAACUUCUAUCAGCAGGGAAGAAAAUGACGGUACCUGACUAAGAAGCCACGGCUAACUACGUGCCAGACGCCGCGGUAAUACGUAGGGGGCAAGCGUUAUCCGGAUUUACUGGGUGUAAAGGGAGCGUAGACGGCAUUGCAAGUCUGGUGUGAACGGCAGGGGCUCAACCCUUGGACUGCAGUUGAAACUGUCAGGCUGGAGUGUAGGUGUGGUAAGUGGAAUUCCUAGUGUAGCGGUGAAAUGCGUAGAUAUUAGGAGGAACACCAGUUGCGAAGGCGACUUACUGGACUGUAACUGACGUUGAGGCUCGAAAGCGUGGGGAGCAAACAGGAUUAGAUACCCCUGUAGUC
rnacentral:rRNA from 1 species